CCAAAAGGCGAGAAAUCGCUUUUCAACCCGUUAGGUGGCCCUCCUGGGCUGCUGAACCGGCCAACCCUUUGUGAACCAAAAAAGCCUUUCGCUUCGGCAGCUGGGCCUGACCGCCUGUCAGCCUGCCGCUAGCACCAACCUUCAAACCUGUUGUCAAACAUUGUCUGAUAACCAAAAUUUUCGAAUGAAAAUCAA
rnacentral:misc_RNA from 1 species